rnacentral:rRNA from 1 species
CCCUUAGAUGUUCUGGGCCGCACGCGUACUACACUGAACGGUUCAAUGGGUAAGGUAGUGCGAAAGCAUGACCUAAUCUCGAAAUCCGUUCGUGCUGGGGAUAGAAGCUUGCAAUUAUCCUUCUUGAACGAGGAAUACCUUGUAAGCGUGAGUCAUCAUCUCACGCUGAAUACGUCCCUGCCCUUUGUACACACCGCCCGUCGCUCCUACCGAUUGAGUGUUCCGGUGAGGCUUUGGGAGAAUGGCCUCAACAUGAGUUUAUCGUGUUUUGCCGUUUGAACUUAGUCAAACCUUAUCACUUAGAGGAAGGAGAAGUCGUAACA